UAGAGACCGGCGCACGGGUGCGUAACGCGUAUGCAAUCUACCUUUUACAGGGGGAUAGCCCAGAGAAAUUUGGAUUAAUACCUCAUAGUAUAUAGAGUUGGCAUCAACAUUAUAUUAAAGUUACAACGGUAAAAGAUGAGCAUGCGUCCCAUUAGCUAGUUGGUAAGGUAACGGCUUACCAAGGCGACGAUGGGUAGGGGUCCUGAGAGGGAGAUCCCCCACACUGGUACUGAGACACGGACCAGACUCCUACGGGAGGCAGCAGUGAGGAAUAUUGGACAAUGGGCGCAAGCCUGAUCCAGCCAUGCCGCGUGCAGGAAGACGGUCCUAUGGAUUGUAAACUGCUUUUAUACAGGAAGAAACACUCCCUCGUGAGGGAGCUUGACGGUACUGUAGGAAUAAGGAUCGGCUAACUCCGUGCCAGCAGCCGCGGUAAUACGGAGGAUCCAAGCGUUAUCCGGAAUCAUUGGGUUUAAAGGGUCCGUAGGCGGUUUAAUAAGUCAGUGGUGAAAUCUGGUCGCUCAACGAUCAAACGGCCAUUGAUACUGUUAAACUUGAAUUAUUAGGAAGUAACUAGAAUAUGUAGUGUAGCGGUGAAAUGCUUAGAUAUUACAUGGAAUACCAAUUGCGAAGGCAGGUUACUACUAAUGGAUUGACGCUGAUGGACGAAAGCGUGGGGAGCGAACAGGAUUAGAUACCCUGGUAGUCCACGCCGUAAACGAUGGAUACUAGCUGUUGGACGCAAGUUCAGUGGCUAAGCGAAAGUGAUAAGUAUCCCACCUGGGGAGUACGAACGCAAGUUUGAAACUCAAAGGAAUUGACGG
rnacentral:rRNA from 1 species